AAGCGAUGCCGCCGUGCAUAUGCUGAUGUAGGAUUGCUGCUCGCUCCUGUCUCUGCUACUCAUUCACAGACCUGUCGUGUUGAGCAGUUGUUUGGCAGAUGUUAGUGGUGUUCCUACUCUCAGUCGUCAGCAUCACUGGCUGAGUGGAAAUAAUCCUUGGAUGCUAAUUGGUUCGCUAUCUGUGAAUUGGUUGCUUCCUUGCGAUACUCACUACUCGGUCAGUGAGGAAGUGCGUUUGCUGGUCAACGAGCUUUCUAACUGUCAUUACCCUGCGCUUUUCGAUUCGUCGAGUGGCCAGGAUGUGGCUUUGAGAUUGUUCGCACUUAGUAAUCGCGAUGCUGGCUUCCAACGGUUGCCUCCGGCCCGUCUUGAAACACGGACCAAGGAGUCUAACGUAUGUGCGAGUGUGUGAGUGGCAAACUUAUACGCGUAAUGAAAGUGAGGCCGUAUGGCCAUGUUGGGGUCACCAACAACCGACCUUGAUCUUCGGUGAAAGGUUUGAGUAUGAGCAUAUCCGUUAGGACCCGAAAGAUGGUGAACUAUGCCUGAGCAGGGUGAAGCCAGGGGAAACUCUGGUGGAGGCUCGUAGCGAUACUGACGUGCAAAUCGUUCGUCAGACUUGGGUAUAGGGGCGAAAGACUAAUCGAACCAUCUAGUAGCUGGUUCCCUCCGAAGUUUCCCUCAGGAUAGCUAGAGUCUUUAUCAGUUUUGUCAGGUAAAGCGAAUGAUUAGAGGUUCCGGGGAAGUAACUUCCUCGACCUAUUCUCAAACUUUAAAUGGGCAAGAUCCAGUAGUUACUUAAUUGAACUAUUGGGGUCAAUGAGACGACUCUAAGUGGGCCAUUUUUGGUAAGCAGAACUGGCGAUGAGGGAUGAACCUAACGCUCGGUUAAGGUGCUAAACUGCUCGCUCAUCAGAUACCACAAAGGGUGUUGGUCGAUCUUAACAGCAGGACGGUGGUCAUGGAAGUCGAAAUCCGCUAAGGAGUGUGUAACAACUCACCUGCCGAAUCGACUAGCCCCGAAAAUGGAUAGCGCUGAAGCGAGUGACCGAUACCG
rnacentral:ncRNA from 1 species